rnacentral:rRNA from 1 species
ACUGCUCAGUAACACGUGGACAACCUACCCUGAGGUCGGGGAUAAACCCGGGAAACUGGGUAUAAUACCCGAUAGAUCUAGAUCGCUGGAAUGCUUUUAGGUCUAAAGUUCCGACGCCUCAGGAUGGGUCUGCGGCCUAUCAGGGUAGUAGUGGGUGUAAAGUACCUACUAGCCCACGACGGGUACGGGUUGUGAGAGCAAGAGCCCGGAGAUGGAUUCUGAGACACGAAUCCAGGCCCUACGGGGUGCAGCAGGCGCGAAACCUUUACAAUGCUGGCAACAGCGAUAAGGGGACCUCGAGUGCUACGAUACAAUCGUGGCUGUCUAGUUGCCUAAAAAGCAAUUGAUAGCAAGGGCCGGGCAAGACCGGUGCCAGCCGCCGCGGUAACACCGGCGGCUCGAGUGGUAACCGCUAUUAUUGGGUCUAAAGGGUCUGUAGCCGGCUUAGUUAGUCUCUUGAGAAAUCUGGCCGCUCAACGGUCAGGCGUUCAGGGGAUACUGCUGAAGCUCGAGACCGGGAGAGGUGAGAGGUACUUCAGGGGUAGGGGUGAAAUCUUGUAAUCCUUGAAGGACCACCAGUGGCGAAGGCGUCUCACCAGAACGGAUCUGACGGCAAGGGACGAAAGCUAGGGGCACGAACCGGAUUAGAUACCCGGGUAGUCCUAGCCGUAAACGAUACUCGCUAGGUGUCGGCCACGGUGCGACCGUGGUCGGUGCCGUAGGGAAGCCGUGAAGCGAGCCACCUGGGAAGUACGGCCGCAAGGCUGAAACUUAAAGGAAUUGGCGGGGGAGCAC